UGCUCACCUCUCAUUUGGACAGUAAGAGACGUUUACAUCACACACUGACAUCAUGCUGGGGAUCCUCUGCACUCUCAUCACUGCUCUAACAUAUGUUGAUGCAGUGAUAGUUCUUACUCAGACGCCUGCUGUCCACACAGUCUCUACAGGACAAGAAGUUGUUCUCAAAUGCAACAUUCAGAGAGAUGAUAGUAUUUCUGUUCGCUGGUAUAAACAGGUUCCUGGUAAAACUCCUCAGUAUGUUCUGAAAUUUCACCAUUCUAACAAUUCACCCAGCUUUGGAACAGGAUUCUCCUCAGACCGAUUCAACUCUAAAUCCUCAUCAAACAUAGAUUACCAGUUCAUCAUUAAGCGAGCAGAGACAGGAGACUCUGCAGUUUAUUACUGUCAUACAUGGGACAACUCUGCUAAUGAGAACAUAUCACAGUGAUUUACUCUUUGACAAAAACCUCUUCACUAAGUACUUCU